UCUGAUAACAGGAGUAGCCAC
rnacentral:piRNA from 1 species